rnacentral:rRNA from 1 species
UACGGAGGAGGCAAGCGUUAUCCGGAAUUAUUGGGCGUAAAGCGUCCGCAGGUGGCACUUCAAGUCUGUCGUCAAAGACUGGGGCUUAACCCUGGAAAGGCGGUGGAAACUGAAGCGCUAGAGUGCGGUAGGGGUAGAGGGAAUUCCCGGUGUAGUGGUGAAAUGCGUAGAGAUCGGGAGGAACACCUGUGGCGAAGGCGGCCGACUGGGCCGACCCUGACGCUGAGGCGCGAAGGCGUGGGGAGCGAACGGG